rnacentral:rRNA from 1 species
GUGAGGAAUUUUGCGCAAUGGGGGCAACCCUGACGCAGCGACGCCGCGUGGAGGACGAAGUCUUUCGGGAUGUAAACUCCUGUCAGUGGGGACGAUAAUGACGGUACCCACAGAGGAAGCACCGGCUAACUCCGUGCCAGCAGCCGCGGUAAGACGGAGGGUGCAAGCGUUGUUCGGAAUUACUGGGCGUAAAGCGUAUGUAGGCGGCAAGUUAAGUUCAAUGUUAAAGCCCACGGCUCAACCGAGGAGUUGCAUUGAAUACUGGCUAGCUAGAGGGUGUUAGAGGAAGACGGAAUUCCCAGUGUAGCGGUGAAAUGCGUAGAUAUUGGGAGGAACAUCGGUAGCGAAAGCGGUCUUCUGGGACAUACCUGACGCUGAGGUACGAAAGCGUGGGGAGCAAACGGGAUUAGAAACCCUAGUAGUCC